rnacentral:rRNA from 1 species
AACGCUAGCUACAGGCUUAACACAUGCAAGUCGAGGGGCAUCAGGGUAGCAAUACCGCUGGCGACCGGCGCACGGGUGAGUAACACGUAUCCAACCUACCGUUAACUCGGGGAUAGCCUUUCGAAAGAAAGAUUAAUACCCGAUAGUAUAUUUUCUUCGCAUGUUGAAAAUAUUAAAGAAUUUCGGUUAUCGAUGGGGAUGCGUUCCAUUAGGCAGUUGGCGGGGUAACGGCCCACCAAACCUACGAUGGAUAGGGGUUCUGAGAGGAAGGUCCCCCACAUUGGAACUGAGACACGGUCCAAACUCCUACGGGAGGCAGCAGUGAGGAGUAUUGGUCAAUGGACGAAGGUCUGAACCAGCCAAGUCGCGUGAAGGAAGAAGGAUCUAUGGUUCGUAAACUUCUUUUGCAGGGGAAUAAAGUGCAGGACGUGUCCUGUUUUGUAUGUACCCUGAGAAUAAGGAUCGGCUAACUCCGUGCCAGCAGCCGCGGUAAUACGGAGGAUCCGAGCGUUAUCCGGAUUUAUUGGGUUUAAAGGGUGCGUAGGUGGUUUUAUAAGUCAGCGGUGAAAGUUUGCAGCUUAACUGUAAAAAUGCCGUUGAAACUGUAAGACUUGAGUGUAAAUGAGGUAGGCGGAAUGCGUGGUGUAGCGGUGAAAUGCAUAGAUAUCACGAAGAACUCCGAUUG